UACAGAGGUCUCAAGCGUUGUUCGGAUUCAUUGGGCGUAAAGGGUGUGUAGGUGGCGCCGUAAGUCGGGUGUGAAAUUUCGGAGCUUAACUCCGAAACUGCAUUCGAUACUGCGGUGCUUGAGGACUGGAGAGGAGACUGGAAUUCAUGGUGAGCAGUGAAAUGCGUAGAGAUCAUGAGGAAGACCAGUGGCGAAGGCGGGUCUCUGGACAGUUCCUGACACUGAGACACGAAGGCCAGGGGGAGGCAAACGGG
rnacentral:rRNA from 1 species